UGGAGCCAGAGCAAGUAUUGCCUGAUGGAGGAGCACCCCACAAGGUGCAGGAAUGUGAGCCUUUAUACUGGCACUUUGCCCAGUCAGCAGCCUCCAGUUAACCUGCAAAGGCUGUAAUUUCAGGUGAAGUUGUUCUCUGCAGGUGAGCAGACCUCAGCUGGAGGCCGUCUACUGAUCUCAUUCCCUACAGGUAGGAAGUAAGUCUUCAGAGAAUCUCAGCAAGCCACCUCUGCGUCCACCAAAGAACACCAGCCUCAAAGUACAAUGAAGUGAAAGUGAUUAGCAACUGCUACACAUUUUCCUUGUUUACGGUAUAAAUUCCAUGAAGAUGGGGACAUUAGCCUUCAAUCACAUAGAAGUUACAUGAAAUAAGUUGAAUUUGAAGCCACACAGCCUAACUCCAGGGACUGUGUACUUAACUGUACACAGGUAUAUUCAGCAAAAUGAACCUCAUGUUUGGACCUAGAGCAAAGAUGGAAUCUUAAAGCCAAAGGAAUAAAGAACCCUGAUAAAGGUUGAGUUUUGCCUGCAUGAACAUUGAAGACGACGACAGAGAACUCUGUUAAAGUUAUCACAGGCUAAUGUGAUCUGAGAUUUAUUUUCAACGUUGCCUGAGGGCAGAAAUAUGAAAAAAUAUUCAAGUACUUGAAAAUAUAACAUUUAGUAAUGAUAAUAUGAUAAUUAAAGAUAAGAUAUUUGAGGGUAGAUAAUAGGAAAUUUAUUUUUAAUUUAUCGAUAUAUGUUUAAAUGAAAAAGAAUACAUGUAUUAGGAAAAGUUUUUCAUUACCUAUAUCACAUUUGAUCAGGUUGAUUUAUUUAAUAUUUUAUACGUCAGCCCAUAAAGCUAAGAUACAUUUUACAUCAGGCUGGAGUGGCUGCGUUUGAAAAGAACACCAGUUAAUUUAUCUUAUAACUUGUUCUCUAUUUUAUUUUUUGUUAAGAACAUGAGUCAGAAAGUCAUCUGCCUUCUGAAACUCAAGAAUAAAACACAAAAUGCCAAUUUUGUGAAUAUGAAUGAGUACCAAGCUGUCUCUAAAGGACAACUGAACUAUUAUCAGUUUUUUUGUAGAUAGUUCGAAAUGAAUAGAUUGUUCUCUGACAAAAGAAUCAUUUCAAUCAGAAAAAAAAAAGAGCUGAGUUAUUGAUAGGAAUAUCUGUUGAAAUACAAUCAAAUUGAGAAAGAAAUUCAUUAUAGUUUCUCAUUAUAUCAGUGCCGGCUAAAUUAUAGUCAAAGUCAAAGGUGGUUAAUUUAGUUAAAAUUAGAUUUUUUAAUGUUUACUUUCUUCUAGUAUUUGAGCUAAAUAUUAUCUUGGAAGACUAACAAUCUAUGUCAAAUAGUCUUUCCCCCUAUAAUUAGAUUAAUAUUGAUUUGCUACAGUCAGAUCAAGUGAAAUAGUCAUAACAGCUUUUUUUAAAUGCAACUGAAUUACUGUGAAAAUUAUUGAUAACUACUAAUCACUUAGGAACAGAGAUCUAGAUAAAUGUCAAGUUAACUACAUAAUUCUUCUAUUUGAAUAUGCAAUAAAAGGUAACUUAAUGUGUUUUAAAUUAAACUAUCUUAAUUAUGUA